CAGCGAUGAAAGCCUGGUAGAUAUAGUUGUGGAACUUAGGUAUGGAAUCUAGAAUGUUGUGUAAGCUUGCAGAGAAGUACAUGUUGGUUAGGAUUUGAUUAGACCUGUUAGGCAUAUGGACUUAGUUUGAAUGAUCAUGGCAAUAGGCUAGAGAAUGUUGGGAGUUCCUUUGUUUUCAAAACCUCUUCCACGGGUUCGGCUUUUGUGUUUUGCUUGAAGGCAAGCAAAAGCUAAGUCUGGGGGAGUUGAUAUAACCCGAUUUUCACUGAUUUUAUCUAUGUUUUAGGUAUAAGAUUUUGAGUCUUUAUGUUAUUUCUCGAGUCUUUUUAGUGUCUUUUCAGGUAUUCUAUGCAAUGGGACAACAAUGGAGAUAAGGAGACAUUUUGGAGCAAAAGCCAAGGAAAAGGAGGUUAAGGACGAUUUUGGUUCAGGAAUCAGCGAGGAGUGUAGAUCGACACACUCUUGGUGUCGAUCGAUGCCAGUUUCGGCCCAGCAAAAACCCUAGACGCUUUCAAGUUUACAGAAGAUCAAAUUUGGUCCAGAAGACUUCUCUAUUUGCAUUAUUAGUCCCUGAACGUUUUUAGGGUCUAUAUAUAUUGUUUUUAGACCUAAGUUUCUUUUAUCAAGUCUUUUAUCAAGUUUUCUACAAACCCUAUUACUAAGAGACAUAAGCUAUUCAUCGAUUAUUUUCAGAGUUUCAUUCAGAUCUAUAUACAGUGAAGAGAUCCCUUCUUUCCCUUUCUCUAUUUACUGUGUUUAUGCUUUCACCCUCAAAUAUGUUGUUUGCUUCAUCCAAUAUGUCGAGUAGUCUGCUUGUUAGGAAUAAGGUUUCUCAUUAGGGAUUCAUAUGGUUUAGUAGAUUGCCCCAUUUGCUAGGUUAUCUAUAGAAUUCUUCAUCUUUAAUUAUGCCUAAUGCUAGAUCUAGAGUAAUUAACUAGAUUUUGAAUCCAGACAAUAGAUAUUCCCGCCAUAGGUAUCU
rnacentral:sRNA from 1 species